AUUGAACGCUGGCGGCAGGCCUAACACAUGCGAGUCGAGCGGAUGAAGGGAGCUUGCUCCUGGAUUCAGCGGCGGACGGGUGAGUAAUGCCUAGGAAUCUGCCUGGUAGUGGGGGAUAACGUCCGGAAACGGGCGCUAAUACCGCAUACGUCCUGAGGGAGAAAGUGGGGGAUCUUCGGACCUCACGCUAUCAGAUGAGCCUAGGUCGGAUUAGCUAGUUGGUGGGGUAAAGGCCUACCAAGGCGACGAUCCGUAACUGGUCUGAGAGGAUGAUCAGUCACACUGGAACUGAGACACGGUCCAGACUCCUACGGGAGGCAGCAGUGGGGAAUAUUGGACAAUGGGCGAAAGCCUGAUCCAGCCAUGCCGCGUGUGUGAAGAAGGUCUUCGGAUUGUAAAGCACUUUAAGUUGGAAGGAAGGGCAGUAAGUUAAUACCUUGCUGUUUUGACGUUACCAACAGAAUAAGCACCGGCUAACUUCGUG
rnacentral:rRNA from 1 species